UCCUUCAUAUUAAGCUAGAGGAGGUGCAGGCCCAGCUUCAUGACCUGGAGCACAAAAUCCUGAGUUAUGUGACAGAGGAGCAGGACAAGUCUGUGAGCAAAGCUGCUUCCAUCUUGAGGCUGACCCUUCUGAAGAAGGGAGUGACUAUCGGGAUGACGAAGGAGGAAGUACACCAGAUAAUACAGCAGGCACUGAAAGAAUACAGUGAAGAUCGCAUUGGGCUGGUGGAUUAUGCCCUGGAGUCCUCAGGGGCCAGCAUUGUCAGUAGCCACUCGUCAGAGACCUAUGGCAUCAGGACGGAGUGGUUUGGCAUACCAUUUUGAUGCUAUUUCCAGUCCCCAAGAGUCAUCUUCCAGCCAGAAGUCAACCCUGGCAUUCAGGGGCUGCCAGGGCUUUGUCGUGGUGUGCUUGUCUGCCCACAUCCAGCUCACUGCUGUCACCUAGGAGUACGUGCUGAAAUCCCUGUCACUAACCGCUGACAUCCCCACUUCCCCAGAGGACUUUGUCAUCACGGGCAACAACACAGCCCCAUACAAGCUGAUAGAGCUGCGAAUCAUCAGCAACUGGGGUAACCCUCAGUAUACCUGUAUUUACCACUUCAGGGUCUAUGGGAAGCAUGCCAUUUAGCCCCUGCCCACCCUGUUGCCUUCACCCCUUCCUCCUUCAGCCACCAGCAAGCAGCUCUCCCACCUCCUCCUCCCUGUCCCCGCUUAAUCU